AAAAAAAAAGAAAAAAAAAGAAAUAUAAGUAGAUAAUAAGUGCAAAGUACUCGAACUCAUGAGAUGUUUGAGUUGAUGUAGCCGUUAAAAAAUUGUCGUUCUCUUCCCUCCACACGCCACAGUGUACUCUGUAGCCGUCACACCACUGACCUACGCUCACGCCCCGAGCAAAUUUUAAAAUUACAAAAAGCCCCUCGUUUCUCGAGACCUCAUCCUCUUCGCCAAAACAAGAAGACCGCUCUCUUCCUCCUCUUCCCUCUGUCUCCUUAAAAACCCCGCAUUUGCUGCUCUCUGCAAAUUAAAGCUAGAAAAUUACAGGGCCUUUUCUACAAAUAGAAGAGCAGAGGAAAGAAAGCCCAGGUAUUUCAACUGAGAGAAAGCAGCAGGAGAAAGGUGGGGAAAAAAAAUAAAGAAAGAAGCCUCCCUCAUUAUUAUCUGCAGUCUAUGUAGUACAUUUUCUGUACAUUCAACAGGGGAGAGAUGGUGCAAAAAUUUAUUAAGGAGAUCGAGUGUUUAAUUAAGCUCAACCGCUAAAGCCCUUCUUAUAUUUCUCAUUGAGGAGGGGAGGAAAAGCUGGUGAAGAGGCAGAGCAAGAGAUAGCAAGACCUCUCAAGAUGAGGAAGAAGAGGAAGAAGAAGUCUUAAAAGGGUGGUUCUUGUUAAUGUUGUUUUAAGUUUGAUAUUGGCACUAUAGGCUCAAUCACUGGUCCAUUCUCUUCUUGCUCUUUUUUUUUUCACACUUUUUUUUUUGGGUAGAAUAUUUUACUUUUUCUGUGUGUGUGGGUAGCUUGUAUCCUCUCUCUGUUGUUUUUUGGUCGUAAUUUUAUGCCCACAAAAAGUUUGGAUAUUGUGUGUUA